CCUAUGAAAAUAAACAAAAGGUACAAUUGUAGCAAUGCUUUAUGAUCUGGAACUGACAUAUUCUUCAUUAUUUGAUAACAAUCAGAUCAAAUUUGUUGUUGCAUUAUGAAUUCAUAUUGUUGUCUUGAUUUGUGCAAUACUUAAUUGUUCUUUGUUCUUCAUGGUGCUUAUUUGUUUUGUUGAAUGACUGAGCAGAGAAGGGUGAGCUGGCUGGAAAAUUCUUCUUCUUGAAUAUCCAUGGGAUUUGGUCAUGCAUAAAUUUAGAUUAGUUCAUGCACAUGCAAAGGGAAGGGAGGUUGACUGAGGCAGUGGUGGAAUUUACUUGUGUAUGGCUAGUAGAUUUGUGUUUCUUGUAGCAACUGUCUUUUGGUGUUUGAAGUGUGGACAGUAACAAUCUCAUUUAUGGGGGCAUCUAGUUUCUUCAUUAUGUGGCAAAAAUGCAUGCAGAAUGCAAUGAGAUGUUUGUUAUAUGAAUUAUUAUUAAAUUUUAGAGAGUGCUAGGCAAAUUACAUAUUAUCAUUUUAAUUCGGGCUUAUAUAA
rnacentral:misc_RNA from 1 species